rnacentral:rRNA from 1 species
AUUGAACGCUGGCGGCAUGCCUUACACAUGCAAGUCGAACGGUAACGCGGGGCAACCUGGCGACGAGUGGCGAACGGGUGAGUAAUGCAUCGGAACGUGCCCGGUAGUGGGGGAUAACUGCUCGAAAGAGCAGCUAAUACCGCAUACGACCUGAGGGUGGAAGGGGGGGGAUCGCAAGACCUCUCGCUAUCGGAGCGGCCGAUGUCGGAUUAGCUAGUUGGUGGGGUAAGAGCCCCCCAAGGCAACGAUCCGUAGCUGGUCUGAGAGGACGACCAGCCACACGGGAACUGAGACACGGCCCAGACUCCUACGGGAGGCAGCAGUGGGGAAUUUUGGACAAUGGACGCAAGUCUGAUCCAGCCAUGCCGCGUGCGGGAAGAAGGCCUUCGGGUUGUAAACCGCUUUUGUCAGGGAAGAAAUCUUCUGAGUUAAUACCUCGGGAGGAUGACGGUACCUGAAGAAUAAGCACCGGCUAACUACGUGCCAGCCGCCGCCGUAACAC